rnacentral:lncRNA from 1 species
CGAACCGUUAAAUAAAUAACGACACUAUAGCCGGUUAAAUUCCCGGACGUUUCGGUGUUUUAAAAAUCUUGUCACGGGCUGCCAACUUCCCUCUCAUCCCCCACAUAGCCCAUCUACAUAGCCCACUUGACCCACCUAGCCCCUCCAUUCAUUCAUAGUCAUCGAAUCACGAUCGGACGAACAAGGUCCAACCCACCAAUGUUCGUUCCCUAUAUAAGCCCAGCUUGUGAAGAGAGCCCCUCUCUCCACUAGAGUUCCCCCUAACCAAAAUUGCACCCACACCCCUAAAAAAUCCCACCUUCUAUCCCACAUCCCUCUAAUCCCGAAAUCCCCUCUCCCCCUCCAAUUUCAGCCCUCAAAUGUGAAAUCAGAGGGCCCUCGUUUGUCCCGCAGCCCCGU